AACCCUCCGAGCGGAAGACCGUCGAGCUCCGACGUUAAAAAUCAAGAGACGAGGCGGCGCCUAUAAACCCUCCGAGCGGAAGACCGUCGAGCUCCGACGUUAAAUAUCAGGUCACGUUGACUAAGAUGAUAAAGACGACUGAGGGAUCGUUUUGCCGAGCGGCCAAGUAACCAAAGGUACUUGGCGGAUAGCUUGCGAAAAAUUCCAUUUUGCGAAAAAGUAUACCUUCAUCCGAGCAGACUAUCCACGCGAAAUACUUCAUAAAAACCCCUUUCGAAUACAAGGUGGGAUGAAAGGGAGAACUACGAGGAGAAGCAGGCGAAUAUAAACGGUAGUUAGCGAGCCUAGUGGACAACACGCAUAUGGAUUAGCAAAGAGAAAGACAUAGCAUUAUAGAAACUAAGGCCGAGCGGCCAAAUUACAAAAAAGGUAGUCUUCGCCCGAGCGGCCGAAUUACAUCUAAAUUUCUUAUUCAAGAUAAUCGUACAGAUCCUUCGGGAUAUUGUCAAGAAGAGCCACUUGAUCUGCGGCCGGGAUGGUGGCGGACUCGAGAAGUUGCCCCUUGGACUUCAAAUAUGUCAUCGUGGCGGUCAUAGCGAGGUCAAACACAGUAUACAUCCGCUCGCAGACCUUCUCCGAAAAUUCGGCCGAACGGAUGUAUUUCUGUUGCAGGGCAGCAACUCGGCUUGGUUCGGCCUCUUGGUAUUCUUUAAAGGCCGCUCGGGAAGCAUCGGCGACUGCCUUGUGCUCUUGUAAAGCCGCCUCGAGCUUUGCCACCUCGUCCGUUCGGGAGACCUUUUCUUUAGCUAGUUGGUCCAUGAGCUCCUUUACUUUCUGCUCUAGGCCCCGAGCCUCCACAUUCUUUUUCUCCAGGUCGGAGAUAGCCGUGUUCUUCCGCUCGGUCGCCAAGCUUAUCUUGUGAUCCAGAGAUUUUUUCUGGUAAGUGUGAGAAAAAAAAAACCAAAAAAACACCCAUGCCCACUCACCCACGUGCACUGCCCUCCCCCACACCCCCCUUUUUCCUUUUCCCUUUUCUCUUCCCCACCGAAGCCUCAAAACCCCUCUCUUCUUCUUCGUUUUCUUCUCUAGCGGCGACGAACGAUAGAUUUUUUUUCUCCCGUUCUUCUUCUCAAGCAGCCCUCGUUUUCUCCUCCCGCACCUCUUCUCCUCCUCCAGCAAGGGCAGAGCACUGUUUUCUCCUUUGCUUCCUCUUCUCUGCUUCUAGGCAGCACUGUUGGAGCUCCUCGGAGUUCACCAGAGCUCGCCAAACCACCGGGAAAAGAGAGGAAACAAAACCCUAGUUGCUCUCUCCUUUUUCCCCACCAACAGCAGCAUUUUUUGCUGCAUUUUGUUUCCUCCAACAGCAGCCCUAGCUGCUGCACUAUUCUUGGCAGUACCGUUGGAGUUCGCCGGAGCUCGCCGGAGCUAGCUGAGGUGGCCAACGACAAAGGGAAAGCAACCCUAGUUGCUGUCCUCAUUUCCAGCAGCCACACAAAACCCUUAGAAGAUCCGAGCUCGAGUGGAGCACGGUGACCUGCCGAUACUCGGAGAUUUUGCUGUAUAUAAGUUUUGCAGACACAGGGAUCCUUUUGAUAUUAUAGUUGAUUUUGGACUUUCAUAGAGUUGCUCAGAGAUCUCGACGUGCUGAUUUUCUGGUUUGUUUUACUUUUGUUUCGCUGUAUUUACAUUUUACAAUUUUGUUACAGAUGUCGUUUAUCUGUAUAGUAAUUGUAGUUUAUGAAAACUAUGACAUAUACAUAUAGUUGAUACAUUUCGUGGUUAUGUUGUUUCUAUUUUAUGUAUGUUCCAGCCGUGUGGCUGAUGAAUAUGUUGUUUAUGUUUAUAU